rnacentral:rRNA from 1 species
GACGAACGCUGGCGGCGUGCUUAACACAUGCAAGUCGAACGGAAAGGCCCUGCUUUUGUGGGGUGCUCGAGUGGCGAACGGGUGAGUAACACGUGAGUAACCUGCCCUUGACUUUGGGAUAACUUCAGGAAACUGGGGCUAAUACCGGAUAGGAGCUCCUGCUGCAUGGUGGGGGUUGGAAAGUUUCGGCGGUUGGGGAUGGACUCGCGGCUUAUCAGCUUGUUGGUGGGGUAGUGGCUUACCAAGGCUUUGACGGGUAGCCGGCCUGAGAGGGUGACCGGCCACAUGGCGACUGAGAUACGGCCCAGAGUCCUACGGGAGGCAGCAGUGGGGAAUAUGGCACAAUGGGCGGGAGCGUGAUGAAGCAACGCCGCGUGCGGGAUGACGGCCUUCGGGUUGUAAACCGCUGUCGCCUGUGACGAAGCGUGAGUGACGGUAAUGGGUAAAGAAGCACCGGCUAACUACGUG